rnacentral:rRNA from 1 species
AGUGGGGAGUAACUAGCCGAAAGGUUAGCUAAUACCGCAUACGUCUCCGAGGGGCAUCCCUUGGCGAUAAAAGGAGCAAUCCGCUCGAUGACGGGACCGCGUCCCAUUAGCUAGAUGGUGGGGUAACGGCCUACCAUGGCACCGAUGGGUAGCUGGUUUGAGAGAGCGACCAGCCACACUGGGACUGAGAAACGGCCCAG